rfam:Bombyx mori DNA, contig: Bm_scaf29_contig18577, strain: p50T/Dazao, build 2, whole genome shotgun sequence.
UUAAUUCGAAUUUGUAUGACGUUGGAACGUUUGCCUACGCUUGCCGCUAGGGACGCUGUUUCAACUGCCUACAAAUUUUAGUUA